CGUGGCUCAGUCGGUAGAGCGACUGAUUCGUAAUCAGUAGAUCAGGGGUUCGAGUCCCCUCG
rnacentral:tRNA from 1 species